CUGCCAUCUGCUGAAUCUGACAGAAAGUGAUUUGUGUGUUCCUGUCUCUCCGGUGGAGGUUUCAGCCUUCCUAAAUGGGAGGAGAAGGCAGGUCCCCCCACAGAUGUGCUUAUCGUAGCGUAGGAGCUGAUGUUGCAGGGUGUAGGCUUACAUGCUGCACUUGAUAGUUCCCAUCACCCCAGUGGCAGCAAGAAAGGGAGGGGGCCUGAGGUGGAUGACACAUCAACCCACAGAAGAAAUAUUCACCAGGGGACAUGGGGCAUCAUUGGAUGAGGGCAGUGGUGGUUCUGGUAGAUGAAUGUGUUGAUUUUAUGUGGCUAGCCUUACUUCUCCUGAUAGGGAGGCCAAGGUAGUGUGGGUUCUUCUGACCUGCACUCCUGCCACCAGUGCCCAAAAUGACUGGGAGCAGCAUGGCUGGGGUCCUGCCUUCUCUCAUCAGCUCUUGAAGACUUGGUGGCACUCCUGUCUGUAGGAAGCUGGCAGUUUAGCCAGUUUCCAGAAAAUAUGGAACUUGCUUCAAGAGGUUACGUUGUGAGUACCAUGGCAGGCACUGAUAAAUCCAGGCGUCCGAUCUCAGCAGGUUGGAUUAUCUAUUGAGCUGCCCUGGCCUUUCCCUGCUGCAGAACAGGUCUUCUACUGGUGCAGAAAGAGCUGGAGCUGCGCUUGCCUCUCCUCUCUAGGCAAAUCACCAAGAAAGGAGCUGGUCCAGCUUAACCCUUGGCACAAAGCACGUCUAAGAACGAGCAGCCUGUUGGGCUGCAUGCCAGGAAAGCAUCAGGGGAGAGAGAGAGAAAAAAAAAAAAAAAAGCAGAAAACCAGAACAUAAACACAAGAUUGCUGCGGUAAUUGGUGGCUCUGAAAAACACUGAGGAAAUGUGAGGCUUGUAUGAAACAUCAGCAGACAAGAAGCGGGGUGAUGUCAGACGGCCUUCCAGGAUUAGAAACCCUUAAAAGCUCCCGAGUGCGGAACUGCCUGCGAAACGCGCUGCGGCUCUUUGGCGUGGAAGGACCCGAGGAGGACAAGUUCUGUUGAAAACCAACCCCGUGGUUCAGGUUCAGGAGAAUAAAAAGAAAUAAAGGAGGAGAAGGGAAGAGCGGCAGAUAAAAGGAGGGAAAAAUGAGAGGAAAAUGAAGACAAAAAAUGGAAGAGGAAGAAAGGAAGGAGGUAGUGAAGAGAAUAAAGGAGAGGUGAAGCAAGAAGACAAAAGAAGAAAAAUAAAAGGAAGAGAAAAAAUGGAAAAGACAAAAGAAAGCAAACAGAAGAAAGAAAAAUAAAAGAAAGAAUGAGAGAAGGAAGUAAAAAAUGUUGUGAGUACAGUAAGCAUGGCAAAAGAGAAGCAGGGCUUUUUGGAUGCAAAUAUGAAAAUAUCGAGGGAUUCAACACAAACAUCUCAUUACCCCAAAUUAAGUCAAUACAACUAUAAUAGAAGAAAGAUCAGAGAGAAUGGAAUUGUAGUUGCAAUAAUGCUGGAGCCACACAGAAAAAGGCUUUGAACAGGGGUACACAAAACCAGAAAAAAUAAAGAAGGAAAAAAAACCUCUCCCACACAUUAUUUGUUGUUUCUACUUCUGUUGGCUUCUUUCCUCGGGGGAAAAUAGAAAUACAAUACCAGACAUUUUAUAUACAUGUAUAUAUGUGUAGAGAGGAGAGUCUUCUAGCAAAUCUCUUUAAAAACAAAGGGUGCGGGGUAAGUGCGACCAAGGAGCAGCGUGGGGGAAGGUGUGGGGAUGCAUGCAGAUAGGGG
ensembl:lncRNA